rnacentral:ncRNA from 1 species
CAAACUGAACGGCGACAAUCAGCGAAAAGUUUUGAGAAGUCAGCAGAAGACAUAGUAUCUCUGGUUUUUUUUUUCAGAGAGAAGGUC